GCGGGGCGAGCGGAUCGUCUGUGGCUGCGCUCCGCACCGACACCCCACGCUACACCGCAACUGACAUGUUUACCGUGGACUUCUCUCUUUACGUACAAGGACUGUGUGUUUCUAAAACUUGUGCCGGAAGGAUCCUCGGUUAAUAUUUGUGUCCGAAGGUUAUUUCUCUUCCAUUAUACACUCUUGACAGUUCGAUAAGGAAGUGAGGACUUUAAUGUAAUACGCACAUCAAGAGGACCUCCCUCCCGUCCACUAACACACUAUAUCUGGGACAAGACUGACCAACACACGUACAAGAAUAGUGUCUUCCUGCCUGUACGUUAUCGUACUGAAGACAGCCAGUAUGGUGGAAGUGUCAUCAGGUCCUUGGAGCGUGAGAUGAACACAACGCAGCUGGAAAGAAACAUGACGCAAAGGGGAGGCCAUAAUAUUAUUAAGGUCAACGUUAAUAAGGUGUUGACCCCGCAGGAGUAUGUCAGCGGUGACGUCAUCGCCACUCCCGUGCAUGUACAAAUUGAACAGCUGUGAAGAGGUGUCGUCAGGUUUCCCGCCCCAGAUCAACCACUCCUAAAUCUGCUACACUGUGCCAUGGAUCAACCAACCAACCAGAACUCUGCUACACUGUGCCAUGGAUCAACCAGCCAACCAGAACUCUGCUACACUGUGCCAUGGAUCAACCAACUUAUCGGACCUCUGCUACACU